GGAGAGAUGGCUGAGCGGACCAAAGCGGCGGAUUGCUAAUCCAUAGUAUGGAUUAUCCGUACCGAGGGUUUGAAUCCCUCUCUCUCCA
rfam:Picea glauca, whole genome shotgun sequence.